rnacentral:rRNA from 1 species
GAGUUUGAUCAUGGCUCAGGAUGAACGCUAGCGGCAGGCUUAACACAUGCAAGUCGAGGGGUAGAGUAGCAAUACUUGAGACCGGCGCACGGGUGCGUAACGCGUAUGCAACCUACCUUUUACAGAGGGAUAGCCCAGAGAAAUUUGGAUUAAUACCUCAUAGUAUAUGUCUUUCGCAUGUUAGACAUAUUAAAGUUCCAACGGUAAAAGAUGGGCAUGCGUCCUAUUAGCUAGAUGGUAAGGUAACGGCUUACCAUGGCAACGAUAGGUAGGGGUCCUGAGAGGGAGAUCCCCCACACUGGUACUGAGACACGGACCAGACUCCUACGGGAGCAGCAGUGAGGAAUAUUGGACAAUGGGCGCAAGCCUGAUCCAGCCAUGCCGCGUGCAGGAAGACGGUCCU